GAGGCUGUGGCUCAGAGGUAGAGUGCUCACCUACCAUGCGUGGGGCACUGGUUUCAAUCCUCAGCACCACA
rnacentral:tRNA from 1 species